GACGAACGCUGGCGGCGUGCUUAACACAUGCAAGUCGAACGGAAAGGCCCUGCUUGCAGGGUGCUCGAGUGGCGAACGGGUGAGUAACACGUGGGUGAUCUGCCCCUUACUUUGGGAUAAGCCUGGGAAACUGGGUCUAAUACUGGAUAGGACCAUGCUGUAGGUGGUGUGGUGGAAAGAUUAGUUUCGGUAAGGGAUGAGCUCGCGGCCUAUCAGCUUGUUGGUGGGGUAAUGGCCUACCAAGGCGUCGACGGGUAGCCGGCCUGAGCGGGUGGACGGCCACAUUGGGACUGAGAUACGGCCCAGACUCCUACGGGAGGCAGCAGUGGGGAAUAUUGCACAAUGGGCGCAAGCCUGAUGCAGCGACGCCGCGUGGGGGAUGACGGCCUUCGGGUUGUAAACUCCUUUCAGCCAUGACGAAGCCCUUGUGGUGACGGUAGUGGUAGAAGAAGCACCGGCUAACUACGUG
rnacentral:rRNA from 1 species